AGCAACAGCUGGGAGUAUAUCCAAACAGAGUUCCAGCUCCCUGAGAGAGGAAAGUUUUGGCAGGGUAGCAGGGUCAAUCCAAGUCUACAGCAGAUGCCAAGACAUACAGACAGAAGCCAGACGUACAGACUAGACAAGUCUUACUACUUCUUCCAAAACCUUGUGACUCCAAAGUCCCUGAGCAGGCCGCUGCUUGUUCUGGCCAGAGAGCAGAGCCACCCACCAGGUGCCUGCAGUCUCCUACCCAAAAGGGAAGAAUCAAGAAUAAUGAAAGCACAGGACUAGAAGGGAUGGCAAUGACCCACUACAGCCUUCCUCCUGCAUCCACCCCAGUCACUGAG
rnacentral:lncRNA from 12 species